GGUGUUGUAGCUCAGUAGUAGAGCGCUUGUCUCACACUUAAGAGGCCCUGGGUUCGAUCCUCAGCACCACAU
rnacentral:tRNA from 1 species